UACGUAGGGUGCAAGCGUUGUCCGGAAUUAUUGGGCGUAAAGAGCUCGUAGGCGGUCUGUCGCGUCGGAUGUGAAAAUCCAGGGCUCAACCCUGGACCUGCAUUCGAUACGGGCAGACUAGAGUUCGGUAGGGGAGACUGGAAUUCCUGGUGUAGCGGUGAAAUGCGCAGAUAUCAGGAGGAACACCAGUGGCGAAGGCGGGUCUCUGGACAGUUCCUGACGCUGAGGCACGAAGGCCAGGGGAGCAAACGGG
rnacentral:rRNA from 1 species